GUGCUUACUUUGGCAGUACGUAUACUAAAACUGGAAAGAUACAGAAAAGAUUAGCGUGGCUCCCACACAAAGAUGACCUGCAGACUCAUGAAGUGUCCCAUAUUUUU